rnacentral:tRNA from 1 species
GGAGAGUUGCCGGAGUGGUCGAACGGGGCAGACUCGAAAUCUGUUGAUCCGCCCAGCGGGUCCGGGGGUUCGAAUCCCUCACUCUCCG